CUGACUGAGAGGACAAUUCAGUUCGGUGCUCACAGAGGAGGUGUGAGCAAUUAUUUCUCCACCAUAACCAUAUCAUGCUGUUAUAUGUCCCCUUCCUGAAAGUCUACAGUCUUCCUCAUGCCCAUCAGUCCCUGGUUGAGAGAACUCAACGAGCAGAACACUGACCGUCAUGUUAUUAAACGACAGGACACAGCAGAUUCGUCAACAGCAACUAUUUGCAGAGCUUAAAAGAGAAACACAGAUUCAGAAUGAGAGAGAGAGAGCUUAACAAAUCUUAGCCUGACUCACCAACAAGGACACGAACAUAAUCUAUAGGGAUAUAUACGAGAGACUCAGAGACUUGAAGAAUCCUUGACAAGAAGCCAUUUCUUUUGGCUUAUGAUGGAUGAGCACCAAAUAACUUAUUGUCUAUUCUAUUUGGUUGUGCAUAUUCUCUUGAUUUUACUUUAUUUUAUUUAUUUUGUUUUGUUGUGUGUUAGUCACUUUCUUGUCUGUUUGCCUACAUACUGUAUUUCUAUCUUUCCAGGCAUUUGGUCUCUUGACAUUUUCUAAGGUGUACAAGUCAACAUAUAGUUUGUUCACAUAGCUCAUAUGUUAAUACACACACACACACACACACACACACACACACACACACACACACACAAACACACACACACACACA